UGGGGAAUUUUGGACAAUGGGCGAAAGCCUGAUCCAGCAAUGCCGCGUGUGUGAAGAAGGCCUUCGGGUUGUAAAGCACUUUUGUCCGGAAAGAAAUCCUUGGCUCUAAUACAGUCGGGGGAUGACGGUACCGGAAGAAUAAGCACCGGCUAACUACGUGCCAGCAGCCGCGGUAAUACGUAGGGUGCAAGCGUUAAUCGGAAUUACUGGGCGUAAAGCGUGCGCAGGCGGUUUGCUAAGACCGAUGUGAAAUCCCCGGGCUCAACCUGGGAACUGCAUUGGUGACUGGCAGGCUAGAGUAUGGCAGAGGGGGGUUAGAAUUCCACGUGUAGCAGUGAAAUGCGUAGAGAUGUGGAGGAAUACCGAUGGCGAAGGCAGCCCCCUGGGCCAAUACUGACGCUCAUGCACGAAAGCGUGGGGGAGCAAAACAGGAUUAGAUACCCUGGUAGUCCACGCCCUAAACGAUGUCAACUAGUUGUUGGGGAUUCAUUUCCUUAGUAACGUAGCUAACGCGUGAAGUUGACCGCCUGGGGGGUACGGUCGCAAGAUUAAAACUCAAAUGAAUUGACGGGGUCAUAGCUG
rnacentral:rRNA from 1 species